UGGGGAAUAUUGCACAAUGGGCGCAAGCCUGAUGCAGCCAUGCCGCGUGUAUGAAGAAGGCCUUCGGGUUGUAAAGUACUUUCAGCGGGGAGGAAGGGAGUAAAGUUAAUACCUUUGCUCAUUGACGUUACCCGCAGAAGAAGCACCGGCUAACUCCGUGCCAGCAGCCGCGGUAAUACGGAGGGUGCAAGCGUUAAUCGGAAUUACUGGGCGUAAAGCGCACGCAGGCGGUUUGUUAAGUCAGAUGUGAAAUCCCCGGGCUCAACCUGGGAACUGCAUCUGAUACUGGCAAGCUUGAGUCUCGUAGAGGGGGGUAGAAUUCCAGGUGUAGCGGUGAAAUGCGUAGAGAUCUGGAGGAAUACCGGUGGCGAAGGCAGCCCCCUGGACGAAGACUGACGCUCAGGUGCGAAAGCGUGGGGAGCAAACAGG
rnacentral:rRNA from 3 species